rnacentral:rRNA from 1 species
GCGAUACUUGGUGUGAAUUGCAGAAUUCAGUGAAUCAUCGAAUCUUUGAACGCACCUUGCGCCCUUUGGUAUUCCGAGGGGCAUGCCUGUUUGAGUGUCAUUAAAUACCAUCAACCCUCUUUUGACUUCGGUCUCGAGAGUGGCUUGGAAGUGGAGGUCUGCUGGAGCCUAACGGAGCCAGCUCCUCUUAAAUGUAUUAGCGGAUUUCCCUUGCGGGAUCGCGUCUCCGAUGUGAUAAUUUCUACGUCGUUGACCAUCUCGGGGCUGACCUAGUCAGUUUCAAUAGGAGUCUGCUUCUAACCGUCUCUUGACUGAGACUAGCGACUUGUGCGCUAACUUUUGACUUGACCUCAAAUCAGGUAGGACUACCCGCUGAACUUAAGCAUAUCAAUAAGCGGAGGA